rnacentral:rRNA from 1 species
GACGAACGCUGGCGGCGUGCUUAACACAUGCAAGUCGAGCGGUAAGGCCCUUUCGGGGGUACACGAGCGGCGAACGGGUGAGUAACACGUGGGUGACCUGCCCUCAGCUCUGGGAUAAGCCUGGGAAACUGGGUCUAAUACUGGAUAUGACUCCACGGUGCAUGUCGUGGGGUGGAAAGCCUUGUGCGGCUGAGGAUGGGCCCGCGGCCUAUCAGCUUGUUGGUGGGGUGANGGCCUACCAAGGCGACGACGGGUAGCCGGCCUGAGAGGGCGACCGGCCACACUGGGACUGAGAUACGGCCCAGACUCCUACGGGAGGCAGCAGUGGGGAAUCUUGCGCAAUGGGCGAAAGCCUGACGCAGCGACGCCGCGUGAGGGAUGACGGCCUCGGUU